ACCUGCCUUUAAGACGAGGAUAACAAUUGGAAACGGUUGCUAAGACUGGAUAGGAAACAAAAAGGCAUCUUUUUGUUUUUAAAAGACCUUCUUAUGAAGGUAUGCUUAAAGAGGGGCUUGCGCCACAUUAGUUAGUUGGUAGGGUAAAAGCCUACCAAGACGAUGAUGUGUAGCUGGACUGAGAGGUUGAACAGCCACAUUGGGACUGAGACACGGCCCAAACUCCUACGGGAGGCAGCAGUAGGGAAUUUUCGGCAAUGGAGGAAACUCUGACCGAGCAACGCCGCGUGAACGAUGAAGUAUUUCGGUAUGUAAAGUUCUUUUAUUGAAGAAGAAAAAGUAGUGGAAAAACUAUAUUGACGUUAUUCAAUGAAUAAGCCCCGGCUAACUAUGUGCCAGCAGCCGCGGUAAGACAUAGGGGGCGAGCGUUAUCCGGAAUUAUUGGGCGUAAAGGGUGCGUAGGCUGUUAGAUAAGUCUAUAAUUUAAUUUCAGUGCUUAACGCUGUCUUGUUAUAGAAACUGUCUUGACUAGAGUGAGAUAGAGGCAAGCGGAAUUCCAUGUGUAGCGGUAAAAUGUGUAAAUAUAUGGAGGAACACCAGAAGCGUAGGCGGCUUGCUGGGUCUUUACUGACGCUGAGGCACGAAAGCGUGGGUAGCAAACAGGAUUAGAUACCCCUGGUAGUCCACGCCGUAAACGAUGAGUACUAAGUGUCGGGGUAAAACUCGGUACUGAAGUUAACACAUUAAGUACUCCGCCUGAGUAGUACGUACGCAAGUAUGAAACUUAAAGGAAUUGACGGGACUCCGCACAAGCGGUGGAUCAUGUUGUUUAAUUCGAAGAUACACGAAAAAUCUUACCAGGUCUUGACAUACUCUGCAAAGCUAUAGAAAUAUAGUGGAGGUUAUCAGGGAUACAGGUGGUGCAUGGUUGUCGUCAGUUCGUGUCGUGAGAUGUUAGGUUAAGUCCUAAAACGAGCGCAACCCUUGUCGUUAAUUGCCAGCACGUAAUGGUGGGGACUUUAGCGAGACUGCCAAUUAAACAUUGGAGGAAGGUGAGGAUUACGUCAAAUCAUCAUGCCCCUUAUGAUCUGGGCUACAAACGUGAUACAAUGGCUGUGACAAAGAGUAGCUGAAACGCGAGUUUUUAGCCAAUCUCAAAAAAGCAGUCUCAGUUCGGAUUGAAGUCUGUAACUCGACUUCAUGAAGUUGGAAUCGCUAGUAAUCGCGAAUCAGCAUGUCGCGGUGAAUACGUUCUCGGGG
rnacentral:rRNA from 1 species